rnacentral:rRNA from 1 species
AGGACGAACGCUGGCGGCGUGCUUAACACAUGCAAGUUGAACGGUAUGACAUGGAAGCUUGCUGAGGUGUCAUAUAGUAGCGGACGGGUGAGUAAUGCAUGAGAAGCUGCCACUGGAGGGGGACAACAGUUGGAAACGGCUGCUAAUACCCCGUAUGCCGGAGGGUGAAAGGGAGUAAUCCGCCCGAUGAGGUGCUCAUGUCCUAUCAGCUGGUUGGUGGGGUAACGGCCUACCAAGGCGACGACGGGUAGCCGGCCUGAGAGGGUGAACGGCCACACUGGAACUGAGAUACGGUCCAGACUCCUACGGGAGGCAGCAGUGGGGAAUAUUGGGCAAAUGGGGGCAACCCUGACCCAGCGACGCCGCGUGGGGGAAGACGGCCUUCGGGUUGUAAACCUCUUUUGUACGGGAAGAAGGAAGUGACGGUACUGUACGAAUAAGUCCCGGCUAACUACGUGCCAGCAGCCGC